GCAAGAUUAAAACUCAAAGGAAUAGACGGGGACCCGCACAAGCGGUGGAGCAUGUGGUUUAAUUCGACGAUACGCGAAGAACCUUACCUGGCCUUGACAUUGAUAGAAUUCGAUAGAAAUAUUGGAGUGCUUGCUUGCAAGAACUUGAAAACAGGUGUUGCAUGGCUGUCGUCAGCUCGUGUCGUGAGAUGUUGGGUUAAGUCCCGCAACGAGCGCAACCCUCGUGUCUAGUUACUAACAGUUCGGCUGAGGACUCUAGACAGACUGCCUGGGCAACCAGGAGGAAGGUGAGGACGACGUCAAGUCAUCAUGGCCCUUAUGGCCAGGGCUACACACGUGCUACAAUGGGGCAUACAGUGAGACGCAAUAUCGCAAGGUGGAGCCAAUCUAUAAAGUGUCCCCCAGUUCGGAUUGCUCUCUGCAACUCGAGAGUAUGAAGUUGGAAUCGCUAGUAAUCGUAGAUCAGCAAUGCUACGGUGAAUACGUUCUCGGGUCUUGUACUCACCGCCCGUCACACCAUGGGAGUUGAUUUUACCCGAAAUCGGGAUGCUAAAAUAGCUACCGCUUACGGUGGAAUCAGCGACUGGGGUGAAGUCGUAACAAGGUA
rnacentral:rRNA from 1 species